GGACAGGCCUCUGGAGAGACUCGUCUGAGCACCGAAGGGGAAAACCAAAACAUUGGUGAAACUCUCAGGUAAAAGGACAGGGGAUUUAGG
rnacentral:ncRNA from 2 species